rnacentral:tRNA from 1 species
GCGAGAGUGGCGGAACUGGCAGACGCGCUGGAUUUAGGAUCCAGUGGGCAUAGCCCGUGCAGGUUCGAUUCCUGUCUCUCGCA